UACGUAGGGUGCGAGCGUUGUCCGGAAUUACUGGGCGUAAAGAGCUCGUAGGUGGUUUGUCGCGUUGUUCGUGAAAACUCACAGCUUAACUGUGGGCGUGCGGGCGAUACGGGCAGACUGGAGUACUGCAGGGGAGACUGGAAUUCCUGGUGUAGCGGUGGAAUGCGCAGAUAUCAGGAGGAACACCGGUGGCGAAGGCGGCUCUCUGGACCGAUACUGACGCUGAGGCGCGAAAGCGUGGGGAGCAAACAGG
rnacentral:rRNA from 1 species